UUUUUUUUUAUAUGUGAAAUGCAAUUCACAACAGUUUUAUUAUUUAUUUUUGGUGUUAUUUUGUUUUGAUAUGUGAAAUUCCUAUAUAUUAAUAAAGGCAUUAUAUAAUGAAGAGUGAAGUACUUUGUUAAAUAUACUUUAAUAAUAAUAUAUCUGCAAAUGUGACAUUAGUUUUGUUACAUAGUUUGCAAGUAUGCCAAUUUUGAGGGUUUUCUCCUUAUUUGAUGGUUUGGAAUUUAAUUUCCUCGAUCCUAAACCUAAAUUUGACUUGACAUUGUUAGUUUUCUCAUCUACAUGCAUCUCAGUUUGUAAGCAGAUACAUGAUGCAAUAUAUUAGCAUUUAUUUAAGGAUACAAGUAAUGUAAUUUUAGGUGUAUAUUUUCGUGUUUUUCUAACUUAUCUCUUAUCAUUCACCACUAUAUGAAUAUAUCAAACACCUAUAUAGGUAAAAUUAGCAAUCAAGUCAUAAUAUCUAACAUAAUUAGUCAAAACAACAACACUUUAAAAUAUUUAUUUAAAAUGUCAGAAUAGCAAUAUUUUAGAAAAUAAUUUGUAUUCAGAUUUUAUUAUUUAAAUUUCCUUUUAUUUAUCAAAACAGUCCUAUAUUGGACCAAAUUCUAAACCAAUACCCGUUUAAAAAGAAAAAAGAAAAAAACAACUACACCACUACUCAUUACCCUUAUUUCCCCACCUUUCACGUUUACCAGCUUCUCUUUCUUCAAGGUUCUCACAAAUUGUUCAACAAAAUCUCUAUUUUAAUUCAAGAAUUUCUCGAUUGUUAAACAAAAUCUCUAUAUUAAUUCAAAAAAAUUCUCGAUUGGCAAAGGUAAUUUCCAUUAUUUACUGACAUUUAUUUUGAUUUGCUUUUUUAAAAUGACCGAUUAUGAUGUAUAUUACGGAUUUUCAGUCAAUUUUUUCAAUUUUUAUGUGAUUUUGUUUGGAUAUUCAUCAAAUAUUGAUGUUAUAAAUUACAAAAUUACAAUAUAUUCAUGAGUAUAUUAUACAGGUCUUAAUCAUGACUGUAUUAGUAAGACAUUUUUUGUAUUUUAAUCAUAACUGUAUUAGUAAGACAUUUUUUGUAUUUUAUUUUUGUAAGACAUUUUUUGUAUUCAUGUGUAUACUCUCUGCAGUUUUAAUCAUAACUGUAUUAGGAAGACAUAUUUUUGUAUUUUAUUUUGUUAAAGCAAUAUAAGUUUGAUGAAAACAUAAUAUAUAAAAUUGUGAUGAAUACAUUAUAAGAAGGGAAAUACAAACUUAUUUGCUAUUCAUUUGGCAUUUGGAAUACAAAAUGAUAUUGAAAUACAUCCUAAUUUUUGAAAUACAAACUAAUAUUGAAAUACAUCCUGAUUUUUGGAAUAUAAACUGAUCCAGAGAAAUAGUAACUACAAUUUUAAAGUGAAAUAAUAAUAAUAUAACAAGACUGGAUAUUGAAAUAUAAAUACAAUUUAGUUUGAAUAUAACUUAUUCUAUGUUUUAUGUUUUCACCAAAAAUGUAUUUCAAUAUAAUUUUGUUUUACUACUAAUUUGUAUUUAUAUUUUUUUUUCUUAAACUAGAAUGCCAAAAGAGUUGUAUUCAUUAUAAUUCUAUACCAACAUUUUUUUGUAUUUUAAGUUAUACAUAUCUUUAGGUAUAUAGAUUGUAUUCCAUUUUUUAUAUAAUUAAAUUUGUGAUUCAUAUAAUUUUUCGAUUACACUUUUAAGUAAUUACACGUUAAAUACACAAAAAUAAAACAAAUAAAUUCAUAACAUGAAUAUGAAUACAUUUCGGUUGAACACAUAUUCAAAGAAUUCCAAAACAAGUAAAUAUAUAAAAAUAGAGGGCAUUAGAAAUUGGGAAACAAUUCCACUCUAAUAAGAUAUAAAAUUCAAGCAUCAUUAACUAAACAAUACACGAUCCAUUCCUACACGAACGCCUAUUGUGCCCCUUAAAUCCACAAGUACUGCAAGAAUUCUUGCUCUUCUUCCCAUAUAGCUCGUUGUACACCUUGUCACGAUAUUUCUGGGAUGGCCUUAGCUUUUUGUGCUUUGGAGGCCGCACUAUGUCGUCCUUAAUAUACCCAGGUACAUUCCACUCGUUUUGAUUAGGUAAGGGAGUAAUUGGAAUGAUGUAUGUAUCCAACAAGUAAUUACACGUUAAAUACACAAAAAUAAAAUAAACUAAUUACAUAAAUGAAAUGUGCGCUCAAACAUCACUAGCUUCAAAAAGAAAAUAUAUAGAACAUGCACUCAAUACAUACUGAUCUGUAUUUACAUACAAAGAUUUCACCUUUUAGCUCAACUACAACAAAUUGAAUCCAAUAUUUAAUUGUAUCCAGAACUUACUACAAGGCAACAAAUAUUGGUAUACAAUUCUUAAUUACUUUAUGAUUUUUAAUCCCUAAUUGUACUCUAUUCAGUAUAUCACAGAAUUUUUAUGACUAUAUCCCUAUACUGUUCUAUUUACAUUAACUUAAUGGGAUACAAAAUAUUGUCUGCAUUAAAAAAAAAACAGCUUCCAAACUAAAAAAAACACACAAUUUCAUUCGUUCUACAUCAUAAUUUGGAUACAAAACAUCCAAAAAAAUGGGAUACGAAAAUCUCAUAUUGUUACUAUUUACAUUAACAUAAUGGGAUACAAAAAUAUUGUAUGCAUUCAAAUAAAAAGAAAACAGCUACGAAACUUUUUUAAAAAAGCUAAAAAAUCAAACCAUACAAAGAUUUCACCGAUUUCAUCAGGAAAAAAAAAUCAACCCACUAUUAUAGUCGAGAUAUAAGAAUAUAUCAUCCAAACAAAUACAAUAAUCGACAAAAACAAAAAUUCUUGAUGUCAAAAUUUCUUGAAUUCAAUGGAACUGACGAAAUUAUAGUCGUGAAUUUUGAAAACCUCUGUUUCAAGAAUAUGCCAAAUUCAACUCGAAGAAGCUUUGAAAAUUAUCAAUUGAAUGAUUCGGAAGACAACUAUUUUUUGCAAAUUUUUUUUGGAAUUCUUAAGAACAAGGCAAAAAAACGCUCCAAAGAAAAAAUGGCAACAUAUGCUCUUUCAAAAUGUAACUGAUUUAUAUUUAAAAUCUUUUUCCUUUCUGAAAUUUUCUGUUCCAUGAUUUUCUCUAUUCUGUUAUUAAUUAUUUGUAUUCUUUCAAAUUAGUUUAAAUAAAAGAAAUACAUAACUCAUUCCUUAACAAACUAAAAUAUUGUCAUUUUAAAUAAAUAGUGAAACUAUUGCUAAGGAGUCCCACUAAAAGCUAAAAUAUUGUUGUUUUUAAUAAUUUUUCCAAAAAUAUAUAAUGUUGGGCCCGUGGGCCUCGGCCAUUUAUCAAUAUUCACUACUAAAAAGUGCUUCCUUAAGAACAUAUUUGUGACAAAAAUGUUUUAAUAGCUGUAUAUUUUGAGGUGAUAUUUUAAAAGUACAAAAAUUGAAAAUUAACCAAACUGUAUCGAUACCGAAGAAAAAUCGAUAUGAUCUUAAGAUAAAAAAAAAUUAAAAUCUAAUUUUAAUUAUACAUUAUAAAUACCCAAAAAAAUGGAAUGAUAUAUUUUUUAGAAAAUAACAGAUUCAACCGUCUCAGACACCCCUAAUGUUUAUUCAUUAAUAACCGGCGCCUGGCGGUAAAAGUGAUUGAUCAUGAUGGCAGUACAGUAGUUGCUAGACUAGAGUAGUGGUAAAGAUCAGUUUCACAGGAUAUAUAAAUUAAUAACUUAGUUGUUUUAGAUCCUAUAUAAGAUCUCAAUGAAUCAGACAUAUCUGAUACAAAUAAAUGGUUGUACAACAAUAAAAAAAAAGGGCACUAAAGAUGAAUUGAGAUCUAAACUACAAUAAGAUUCAAAUCUCUAUUAAACAAAAACAAAUAUGACUAGAGAAUAAAAGGUUCAUAUUUCAACUAGACAAACUGAUCACCAGUUCCUCGAAAUAGUAUCAAAUAUCUUAGAGAUAUCCAACAAAAAAGGUCUUUGAAAUAUUUUGUAUCCCAUGACACUAUUAGCUAAAAUUUAAAAUUGGGAAUUUCAAAACAUUACAAUUUGCCUAAUUUGAAAACUAUAUAAUACUUGUUGAAGAAGAAGGAAGUUGGCGAUUGGAACGUGCCAAAGGAACAGCUCCAAUGAAGCUCACUAACGUGUCUACAUUGAAGUGUUGAAGAUGAAGGAAGCUGAUGAUUGGAACAUGUCAAAGGAACAGGUCCAACGAAGUUGACUGACGAGUUUACAUUAUUGUUGUAGAAUUAGAGUCGCACUAGGAUUAAACUAUUUAUAUUAAUUAGGAUUAUAUUAUGACUAGGAUUAUAUUACGAUUAGGAUUAGAUUAUGACUAGAAUUAUAUUAUGACUAUGAUUAGAUUAUUUAUAAUUGCAUUAUUAUUAUUACAGUAGUAAUAAGUAUUGUAGUAGGAUUCUAAGUAUAGUUAACUUAGGACUACAAUUCUCUCCCUAUGUAAGGAGUAUGUGCUUAACAAUUUUAAUCAUCAAUACAAUCCUUGAGUUCUCUAAUCCUAGACGUGAGAUUUCUACAUGGUAUCAGAGCAUAAAAGCUCCUCCGCUCUCUGAGUAUUGAUAAAAAAAACACACACACACGUUGCAAUGACCACUUCUACCAAAAAUAUGUUGACCUCCUUACUUCACCAACUCAUUGUCACUUGCUCCAUUAAACUUAAGCCAGCAAACUACCUCAUAAAGAGGAUACACAUAUCCCAAUCGAUUCAAAUCACAUAGAAUGAACCAAGUAAAAGUAGUUGUUCCACUGGACAGACUGUCGGGAAAGUUGUAGCGGUUGAGAAAGAUGCAAAGGAUAGUGGCACCAUUGAUGAUUGGAAGGAGAAAGAUAUGUUGCUAAGGAGUUGGAUCUCAGGCACCUUGACCAAAGAAAGCAUGUACCUAACUGUGGGCUGCUCAACUGCCAAGGAGAUGUGGGAAUGUUUGGAAGAAACUUAUCUUCAAGCAACAAAAGAAAAAAAGUUUCAGCUUAAACAACUACAAAGUGUUAGGCUAGGAACCAAAAAUAUAGAUGAAUACAUCAAGGAAUUUAAAGGCAUAUGUGAAAAGUCAUGCCCCAAAAUCAUGUUAGGCAGGAGAGGAGGAAACAACAACAUCACCUCCAGAGAAACAUGUUUCAAACCUGCUGGACAGGGAACAGGUUCUCAGAACAGUCAAUAUGGACCAGGUUCUCUGAACAAUAAAAGUCUCCAAAGUGAAAUUAAGGAGAGGAAUAAUAUUGAAUCAUGUCAAAUUUGUGGUAGGAAUAAUCAUACUGUUCUUAAGUGUUUUUACUGGUGGAACUACUCCUAUCAAUCUGCAGAUGAACUAUCACAAGCAACGACUAGACAUCACAUUCAUACCGAAGCAUUGACAAAACAAGUUUUUGCUGGGUAUUCAAAGUUUUUUUUUGCUGGAUAUUCGAAGCAAGCUAUGAGUAACUGUUCCUCUACUCACUAGCUUGAGGGGAAGUGUUGAAGAAAAAGGAAGUUGGCGAUUGGAACAUGUCAAAGGAACAACUCCAACGAAGUUGACUGACGUGUCUACAUCGAAGUGUUGAAGAUGAAGGAAGCUGAUGAUUGGAACAUGUCAAAGGAAUAGGUCCAACGUAACAAAUCUGACUGAUGAGUUUACACCACUGCUGUAGAAUUAGAGUCGCACUAAGAUUAGACUACUUAUAUUAAUUAGGAUUAUAUUACGACUAGGAUUAGAUUACGAUUAGGAUUAGAUUAUGACUAGAAUUAUAUUAUGACUAUGAUUAGAUUAUUUAUAAUUGCAUUAUUAUUCUUACAGUAGUAAUAGGUAUUGUAGUAGGACUCUAAGUAUAGUUAACUUAGGACUCUACAAUUCUCUCCCUAUAUAAGGAGUAUGUGCUUAACAAUUUUAAUCAUCAAUACAAUCCUUGAUUUCUCUAAUCCUAGACGUGAGAUUUCUACAAAACUGAGGUACAAGAUGAACACCUUGGAGAAAGUAUUGAAGUUAUUUCAAAUCUAUCAUCUUCAAGGGGUAAUUUUUUGUCCAAAUUAUAGUGCACGUGGGGUAACAAGAAUCACAAAAUUAGAUAUCUUAGGUAAUCAUUUUUAAAAAUAGAUCUAAAGCUAUCUACUGGCUACCAUGCUCCAAAACAAUUGAACGGUGCACUUAGUUAAAUGAUAAGUUACUUAGACAAAGAAAUCGAUAUCAAAUCGUACAUGCAGGACCACUUAGGCUGCAUCUACAUAAUUAAAAACAUUGACAUAAAUAUGAAUAUCAGUAAUUUGGAGUUUAGCAUAAUCUUUCAAUAAUUCAAGUAGGUCCUAAAUUUAAUAAGUUUGUAAUCUUAUCAAACUCUAUUAUUCUCGUCUACCUAAACGGACCACCUUUAAUUUACUUCCCAAAAAAUGAAGAACAAAACUCCUUCUUUGACUCAAGUAGGCUGCCCUUCUUCCUACAUCAAUCCUUACAUCUGCCUUUACGAUUUAUCAUUAGGUAUGACAAUGAGGCAGUGUGAGUGUGGGGUGGGGUGGUGUGGGUUUAGACAUAUACAGGUCGAGGCAGGUUUAGAUAUAUGCGGGUGUGGGGUGGGGUUGUAUGGGUUUAGACAUAUACGGGUCGGGGCAGGUUUAGAUAUAUGCGGGUGUGGGGUGGGGUUGUAUGGGUUUAGACAUAUACGGGUCGGGGCAGGUUUAGAUAUAUGCGGGUGUGGGGUGGGGUUGUAUGGGUUUAGACAUAUACGGGUCGGGGCAGGUUUAGAUAUAUGCGGGUGUGAAGCGGGGCAGGUGCGGGUGCAGGUAGGGUUAGGAAUUUCCUCUUCUCAAAUAGGCACUUGUUUUGUGUUUGAUGAUAUGUUUCAGUUAAGGGUUAAGGGUGUGCAUCGGUCGGUUUGUUCCAGUUUUAUGUAUUAUGGGUUCGAUUUAUCAGUUUUUGAUUUUUAAAUAGGUUAAAAAAUAUUUUUUUAUCAGUUUUCGGUUAUCCUUAACGGUUCGAUUUCGAUUUAAUCAAUAAGAAAAUGCUGAUAAAAUAUUUGUAUGGCUUCUCCAACAAUUUGACAACAAGACAAUAAUGUAACUUUAUAAAUGCUCAUAAAAGAGAAAUAAUAAUAAGUAACAUGAAACGAAUUAUACAAACGUAACAUAAAGAAAACUUAAGAGGAAUAGGGUUCUUACUUUAGGUUUUGACAUUUUGUAUAAUGUAAAGUCGUGAACUCAAAAUAAACUGUGAAGUGUGAAUUGAGAGCUAAAUUGCAAAGAUUUUAACUAGUAAGGUAUUGAGAUUAAUAUUUAAUAUUACUGUAUCGACUAUGGGUAAAGUAGUACAUUACUAUAGUCUUAAUGUGUUAUCGAUUUACCCAAUAACCUAAUAUUUAAAAAUCAAAAUCAAAUCGAUAAGCCGAUAAUUUUUUUUAUAAAAUCAUUAACCUAAUAACUCAAUAGCAAUAAACUAAACAGCACUUUUUUUCAAUUCGAUUUAUCCAUCGGUUCAAUUUUUACACACUCCUAUGUUUCACCUAUUUGCACAAUGUCAAAAUUGAAUAGAAAGUAUUUAUCUGUACAUCCUAAUUAAGUAGAACAGAAUAAACGUAAAAUGCAAUAUAAAAAAAGUUCACACUUGAAGGGGUACAAGAUGAGAAGACAAUGUUAAAUUAGGUCUUAGGCCUAACUCACACCCCAAAAGCUAGCUCAAAGGGAGGAGGAUUGCUCAAGCCUUAUAAGGAGUCCACUCAUCUCAUUAACCAUCGAUGUGGGACUUUUGUCAUUCUUUAACACCCCACAUCACGCCCACUGCUUAGCAUCUUGUGCGUGGGCAAUUUUGAUUUUGGGGGCCCCAACAUCAGGUGAGAUGGGCCCUGCUCUGAUACCAUGUUAAAUUAGGUCUUGGGCUUAAUUCACACCCCAAAAGCUAGCUCAAAAGGAGGAGGAUUGUCCAAGCCUUAUAAGGAGUCCACCCAUCUCAUUAACCAUCGAUGUGUAUAUGGAGUUUGUUUAUAUUUUAGUCCCUAAAUUGCAAUUUCGCUUUAGUCCCUCAAUCACGUUGAGCCGUCCCUGCCAGUGUAUUUAUUAUUCAUAUUGUUCAUUUGGCCUACUAAGAUAGUAAAAAUUCUCAAUACUGCAACCAGUAUCCUGAAUUUCUGUCCUAAGUUGUAACAACCAGGAUCCUUUCAAACUAUAUAUGCAGGACCACUUAAUUAAAAACAUUGACAUAAAUAUGAAUAUCAAUAAUUUGGAGUAGCACCAUCGAUCUUUCAAUUAUUCAAGUAGGACCUAAAUUGAAUAUGUUUGUAUUCUAUCAAACUCCUCCGUCUACCUAAAGGGACCGCCAUUACUUCCCAAAAAAAUCAACAACAAAAUUCCAUACAUCUACCAUUAUGAUUAAUCAGCAAAAUUUCCUUCCUCUUCUAAAAUUAAUCACACACAAUCCUUAACAACUGCGAUAAAUGGAAGAUAUAUAUUUGGACAUCCUAAUUAGUAGAACAGAAUAAAAGUAAAAUUGAAUAUGAGAAAAUUCACACUUGAAUGAGAGAAGACAUGAAUAGCAUCAACUUUGACACAGACAAAAAGGAAAAGCAUCUGGAUGGAUCCCGAGAUUAUUGGUAGCAAAUAAUUUAAAACAGGGGAAUCGGAUAGCAGCACACUUAACAGUUGACACCAUUCUACAACUACUAUCAAAAACUGAUGUACAAGAUGAACACCAUGUUUCAAAUAUAUCAUGAUCAAUUGCCAACGAAAGUUGAAAAUGCCUUCUUCACAUUCUUAGAAUUGACUCGAAAACGCUUUGAA
rnacentral:lncRNA from 1 species